UUUGUGCCCCUAACCCGAUAUGUGGCUCGGUCGGGGCCUCCGGCUUUCGAUGUUAGGCUAGGUGAGAGGUCUGGGUAUGUGGCUCACACUUUCUGCACCCCUUCAUCAUUGGAUAGGAGUAGCGACAGAUAUUGUCAAGAGGGCGGCUUCAGAUAUAUUGAUGUAUUGCUUUGUAAGAUCUUUGUGAAUAAUUAAUAAAAUGGCUGCAUGCAUCUUCCAGAUGCAGAGGCCGGGGGUCAUCCUCC
rnacentral:lncRNA from 1 species